rnacentral:rRNA from 1 species
GGGGGGAGCAAGCGUUGUUCGGAAUCACUGGGCGUAAAGGGCGUGUAGGCGGUCAAGUAAGUGGGAUGUGAAAUCCCUCGGCUCACCCGAGGACCUGCAUCCCAAACUGCUUGGCUUGAGUAUGGGAGAGGAUGAGGGAAUUCCUGGUGUAGCGGUGAAAUGCGUAGAUAUCAGGAGGAACACCGGUGGCGAAAGCGCUCAUCUGGCCCAAUACUGACGCUGAGGCGCGAAAGCUAGGGGAGCAAACGGGAUUAGAUACCCCGGUAGUCCUAGCCGUAAACGGUGAUCACUAGGUGUUGGAGGCAUCGACCCCUCCAGUGCCGCAGCUAACGCAUUAAGUGAUCCGCCUGGGGAGUACGGCCGCAAGGUUG